UGCAAGUCGAGCGGACCGAAUCGGAGCUUGCUCUGAUUUGGUCAGCGGCGGACGGGUGAGUAACACGUGGGCAACCUGCCCGCAAGACCGGGAUAACUCCGGGAAACCGGAGCUAAUACCGGAUAACACCGAAGACCGCAUGGUCUUUGGUUGAAAGGCGGCCUUUGGCUGUCACUUGCGGAUGGGCCCGCGGCGCAUUAGCUAGUUGGUGAGGUAACGGCUCACCAAGGCGACGAUGCGUAGCCGGCCUGAGAGGGUGACCGGCCACACUGGGACUGAGACACGGCCCAGACUCCUACGGGAGGCAGCAGUAGGGAAUCUUCCGCAAUGGGCGAAAGCCUGACGGAGCGACGCCGCGUGAGCGAAGAAGGCCUUCGGGUCGUAAAGCUCUGUUGUGAGGGACGAAGGAGCGCCGUUCGAAGAGGGCGGCGCGGUGACGGUACCUCACGAGGAAGCCCCGGCUAACUACGUGCCAGCAGCCGCGGUAAUACGUAGGGGGCGAGCGUUGUCCGGAAUUAUUGGGCGUAAAGCGCGCGCAGGCGGUCUCCUUAAGUCUGAUGUGAAAGCCCACGGCUCAACCGUGGAGGGUCAUUGGAAACUGGGGGACUUGAGUGCAGGAGAGGAGAGCGGAAUUCCACGUGUAGCGGUGAAAUGCGUAGAGAUGUGGAGGAACACCAGUGGCGAAGGCGGCUCUCUGGCCUGCAACUGACGCUGAAGCGCGAAAGCGUGGGGAGCAAACAGGAUUAGAUACCCUGGUAGUCCACGCCGUAACGAUGAGUGCUAGUGUUAGAGGGUCACACCCUUUAGUGCUGCAGCUAACGCGAUAAGCACUCCGCCUGGGAGUACGGCGCAGGCUGAACUCAAAGAUUGACGGGGGCCCGCACAAGCGGUGAGCAUGUGGUUAUUC
rnacentral:rRNA from 1 species